rnacentral:lncRNA from 1 species
AUUAAUUUUCCAUACAAUCUUAGGAAGUAAAUAUUAAUAUUUUCAUUUUCCAGAAAAUAUAAAAGCAAUCAUUGACUCAAAGGCAGCAUCUUGGUAUCUCAGAAGGAUUUAAGUAUUGUCCCAAACCAUAGAAUCAUUGUUUGUUUUCUUCCUCUAGAGAAAAAGGGAAAAUCUGUGACACCUUACCUCUUGAGAGACAUUUCCUGUGGAGAAGUCACACUGGGAGAGAAACAGGUGCUGGAAGGCUGCUCCUACAAGAGACCAUUAGCCUCAGAAAAUGAUUGAAUAUUCUCUGUCUGGACUAUUCACGGAUGGUAGAAAAGUACAUAGCAGGUAAUGAUUUGCAGUUUUGUUAAAAUCCCAGUUUGAAUCAUGCACACUGUGAACUCGUAUGGGAGAGCAAGUCAUUGGGCUAGUGGCAGUGUCUAAUGAAGUCCCCAGUAUCUGACUCUCAUGCACACUUUUGGUACUUUUUUCCUAUAAACUAAUCUUCCUGAAUUCAUUUCUUUAAAUUAAAAAGAAAACUGUGAUUCUUUCUUAAUAUGGCCAUAAAAUGAGAACUAAUAGUUACAUAUGUAUUUUUGAAAAAAAUUACCUUAAUUCCCAUAAACCACUAAAUUUAAUUCCUAUUGUAGUUCUCUAGGAUGUAUUAUUUAGUAGCUCAAUCUUUAGAGGAAUUGGAUCUUUUGCUCGUAUUAGGAAUGUUGGGUUUACUUCAUCAUCUUCAGGUGAAAACUGAUC